rnacentral:rRNA from 1 species
AGGGCAAGUCUGGUGCCAGCAGCCGCGGUAAUUCCAGCUCCAAUAGCGUAUAUUAAAGUUGUUGCAGUUAAAAAGCUCGUAGUUGAAUUUCGGGGUUAGUAGGUUGGUCGUGCCUCAGGUAUGUACUGAUCUCACUGAUUCCUCCUUCCUGAUGAACCGUAAUGCCAUUAAUUUGGUGUUGCGGGGAAACUGGACUGUUACUUUGAAAAAAUUAGAGUGUUUAAAGCAGGCUAACGCUUGAAUACAUUAGCAUGGAAUAAUGAAAUAGGACGUUCGAUCCUAUUCUGUUGGUUUCUAGGAUUGACGUAAUGAUUAAUAGGGAUAGUUGGGGGCAUUAGUAUUCAAUUGUCAGAGGUGAAAUUCUUGGAUUUAUUGAAGACUAACUACUGCGAAAGCAUUUGCCAAGGAUGUUUUCAUUAAUCAAGAACGAAAGUUAGGGGAUCGAAGACGAUCAGAUACCGUCGUAGUCUUAACCAUAAACUAUGCCGACUAGGGAUCGGACGAUGUUAACUUUUCUUGACUCGUUCGGCGCCUUACGGGAA